GUGCUCGCUUCAGCAGCACAUAUACUAAAAUUGGAACGAUACAGAGAUUAGCAUGGCCCCUGUGCAAGGAUGACAUGCAAAUUCAUGAAGCGUUCCAUAUUUUU
ensembl:snRNA U6 U6 spliceosomal RNA